rnacentral:rRNA from 1 species
UACAGAGGGGGCAAGCGUUAUUCGGAAUUAUUGGGCGUAAAGGGCGCGUAGGCGGCUUUGCAAGUGGCGGGUGAAAUCCCUCGGCUUAACCGAGGAACUGCCUGUCAAACUGCAUGGCUUGAGACCAGGAGAGGUGAGUGGAAUUCCCAGUGUAGCGGUGAAAUGCGUAGAUAUUGGGAGGAACACCAGUGGCGAAGGCGGCUCACUGGACUGGUACUGACGCUGAGGCGCGAAAGCGUGGGGAGCAAACAGG